rnacentral:rRNA from 1 species
UUGACGGGGAGCACUACAACGGGUGGAGCCUGCGGUUUAAUUGGACUCAACGCCGGAAACUCACCGGGGCGACAGCAAUAUGUAGGUCAAGCUAAAGACUUUACCAGAAUCGCUGAGAGGAGGUGCAUGGCCGUCGUCAGUUCGUACUGUGAAGCAUCCUGUUAAGUCAGGCAACGAGCGAGACCCGUGCCCACUGUUGCCAGCAUGUCCUUCGGGAUGAUGGGUACUCUGUGGGGACCGCCGAUGCUAAAUCGGAGGAAGGUGCGGGCUACGGUAGGUCAGUAUGCCCCGAAUCUCCCGGGCUACACGCGGGCUACAAUGGUCAGGACAAUGGGUAUCGACACCGAGAGGUGGAGGCAAUCUCCUAAACCUGUCCUUAGUUCGGAUUGUGGGCUGCAACUCGCCCACAUGAAGCUGGAAUCCGUAGUAAUCGCGUUUCAAAAUAGCGCGGUGAAUAUGUCCCUGCUCCUU